UACGGGGGGGGCAAGCGUUGUUCGGAAUUACUGGGCGUAAAGGGUCUGUAGGUGGCCAACUAAGUCAGACGUGAAAUCCCUCAGCUUAACUGGGGAACUGCGUCUGAUACUGGUUGGCUUGAGUGCAGGAGAGGAAUGCGGAAUUCCAGGUGUAGCGGUGAAAUGCGUAGAUAUCUGGAGGAACACCGGUGGCGAAGGCGGCAUUCUGGACUGUAACUGACACUGAAAGACGAAAGCCAGGGGAGCAAACGGG
rnacentral:rRNA from 1 species